GCGCGGUCAAUGACAACUGGAUUUCUCACAGAGCACACACCCCAGGGGAGCAAGGAAGGAGCAUGUCACAUCCUAUCGCCUGCUCAGUGCCAGCCCUGACUACACGAAAAUCUCCCUCAUUCCAGCCUUUUUUCCUAUAAAAGCCUUCCGUUCUAUGGACCCUCUCAGAGCAGCCUUCUAGUUGCUAGAUGAGAUUCAUCAGGAUUUAUGAAUCAUUGAAUAAAGCCUGUUAGAUCUUCAAAUUUAUUCAGUUGAAUGUUGUUCUUUAACAAAAAGGCAACCUGGGAUUCGACCAGCGUAAGCAGCUUUCUGUGAGCAGGUUUGCAU